GGCAGAACCUCAGGCGGACACCACAGAACCACCUGCCGGACACAAAGGAACCUCCUGCCGGACACGCCGGAACCACUGGCUCGACUCGCUGGAACCACCGCAGGAAAUGCAAAAUCACCCGCCGGCUACACAGAAGCAUUUGGCGAACACUCCGGAAAGACCUGCCGGGCAUCCCGGAACCACCUGCACUACUCCCCAGAACCACCUGCCGGACAUGCCAAAAUCACUUGCCGGCUACGCCACAACCAGUUGAACACUCCGGAAUCACCUGCUGGGCAUGCCGGAACCACCUCUCAGACAUGCCAGAACCACAUGCCAAUGACACCGGAAGCUCCUGCCGAGCAGGCCGGAACCACCUGCUCAACUCGCCACAGCCACCUGCCAGACACGCCAAAAUCACCUGCCGGCUACGCCACAACCAGUUGGUGAACACCUCGGAAUCACCUGCCGGGCUUGCUGGAACAACCUGUCGGUCACGCCAACAUCACCUUCCAGCUACGCCCGAACAACUUGGCGUACACUCCGGAAACACCUGUCGGGUCGGCCGGAACCACCUCUCAGACGUGCCAGAACCUCGUGUCGGACACGCCAGAACCACCUGCCGGACAGAACGGAACCACCUGCCGGACAUGCCGGAACCACCGGCUCGACUCGCCGGAACCACCGCCGGACAUGCAAAAGCACCUGCCGGCUACGCCAGAACCACUUGGCGAACACUCCGGAAUCACUUGCCGGGCAUGCCGGAACCACCUCUCAGACUUGCCAGAACCAUGUUCCGGACACGCCGGUACCACCUGCCAAGUAUGCCGGAACAACCUGAUCCACUCCCCAGAACCACCUGCUGGAAACGCAAAAUCACCUGCCGGCUACGCCAGAACCUCUCGGCAGACACUCCGGAACCACCUGCCGGUCAUGCCAGAACCACCUCUCAGAGGUGCCAGAACCACAUGCCAGACACUCCGGAAUCACCUGCCUGGCAUGCCGGAACCAUCUCUCAGACGUGCCACAACCAUGUUCCGGACACGCCGGUACCACCUGCCGAGCUCGCUGGAACCACCUGCUGGACACGCCAAAAUCACCUGGCGGCUAUGCCAGAACCACUCGGCA
rnacentral:lncRNA from 1 species